GUCUACGGCCAUACCACCCUGAACGCGCCCGAUCUCGUCUGAUCUCGGAAGCUAAGCAGGGUCGGGCCUGGUUAGUACUUGAAUGGGAGAAAAGUUCAGUGGAAAAAAAACAGGGAAGUCAAGAAAGCCACAAAAU
rnacentral:rRNA from 1 species